AUGAAACUAACUGUCAUUGGUAGGUGGGCGGGACCUUGGGUAUGCGAGCCUGGCAGAGACAUAUGGGGCAGGCUGCUACCAGGCAGGGCAGUGAAGAAAACUAGCAUUCGAGAAGAUGACUUUGAAAAUGGUUCCACAUGUCUUCUGCCUGGCCAAGUACUCCUGUUAACUGUAAAAAGCUUGUCUUGUGGCAGCUUUUAUCUCAGAUUGAAUGAACAGCCGUGGAAGGUAGAGAAGGCCUCUUCCUCUGAUGUGGAGAGCAGAUUCAUUUGA
rnacentral:lncRNA from 13 species